GACGAACGCUGGCGGCGUGCCUAAUACAUGCAAGUCGAACGCAGUGGGGACGGGUGAGUAACACCUGGGUAACCUCCAAUCAGACGGGAUAACACGUGGAAACAGGUGCUAAACCGACACUAAUGUAUGGACCAGCGGUGCAUUAGCUAGUUGGGGAGGUAACGGCGCACCAAGGCCACGAUGCAAAGACGACCUGCGAGGGUGAUCGGCUACGCUGUGACUGAGAAACGGCCCAGACUCCUACGGUAGGCAUCAGUAGGGAAUUGUCGGCAAUGGUCGAAAGUCUGACCGAGCAACGCAGCGUGAAUUAAGAAGGUUUUCGGAUCGUAAAACUCUGUUGUUAGAGAAGCGGUAUCUACCCAGAAAGCCACGGCUAACUACGUGCCAGCAGGCGCGGUAAUAC
rnacentral:rRNA from 1 species